AGUGAACGCUGGCGGUAGGCCUAACACAUGCAAGUCGAACGGACACACAGUAAGAGCUUGCCCUUACGGGUGGCGAGUGGCGGACGGGUGAGGAAUACAUCGGAAUCCACUUUGUCGUGGGGGAUAACGUAGGGCAGGUUCUGCUACCACAGCAUACGAUGUACCGGUGGGAGCAAUGGAUCAUCGGACCUUGCGUGUCUCAUAGAGCCGGUGUCGGAUUAGCUAGUUGGCGUGGUAAAGGCACAGCAAGGCAACGAUCCGUAGCUGAUCUGAGAGGAUGAUCGGCCACACUGGAACUGAGACACGGUCCAGACUCCUACGGGAGGCAGCAGUGGGGAAUAUUGGGCAAUGGGCGCAAGCCUGAUCCAGCCAUGCCGCGUGGGUGAAGAAGGCCUUCGGGUUGUAAAGCCCUUUUAUUGGGAAAGAACAGCAGCGUAUUAAUACCCCGCUGUUCUGACGGUACCCAAAGAAUAAGCACCGGCUAACUUCGUG
rnacentral:rRNA from 1 species